UCUACUAUAAGAUGCUAAAAAGGUGGGUUGUGUGUGGUUCAGAUUGGUUGAUUUGUAACCCUAGUUGUGCAUAAGAAUUGCCCAGAUAUUUUUUUUAAAUGCCAGUGUCCAGGCAUUUUUUUUUCAAUCCCUAUGAUUCCAGUGUGCAGACAAGGUUGAAAAUCCCUAUUUAUAAUGCUCCCUGUUACAAUUGCUUUUCAACUAAGAGAUGUCUGUACUUUUGGUACCUAGAUGAUGUAAGAGCCAGGAAGGUGCUUGCUGUUUGGGUUUGACCAAGUGUCACUUUUUAAUAAUCUGCCAC
rnacentral:lncRNA from 1 species